GCUGGGUGUGGUGGCGUGUGCCUGUGGUCCCAGCUACUUCGGAGGCUGAGGCAGGAGGAUCGCUUGAGCCCAGGAGAUAGAGGUUGCAGUGAGCUGAAAUUGUGCCACUGCACUCCAGCCUGGGCAAUAGAGCCAGACCCUGUCUCAA
ensembl:misc_RNA Metazoa_SRP Metazoan signal recognition particle RNA